GUCUGGCUAGCUAAGUUGGUAGAGCAUGUGACUCUUGAUCUCAGGAUUGUGAGUUUGAGCCCCAUGUCAGGUG
rnacentral:tRNA from 1 species